UGAAUACGAGAUGCUACGGCGUCGAAGCAGUCUAUGUCAUACUUCCAAGAAAAGCUUGCACUGUCAUAAACAAAUAAUGCCUGUACCAUAACCGACACAGGUGGGUAGGUAGAGUAUACUAAGGGGCGCGAGAUAACUCUCUCUAAGGAACUCGGCAAAAUGACUCCGUAACUUCGGGAGAAGGAGUGCCUUAUUUAUAAGGUUGCAAUAACAAGGUCCAAGCAACUGUUUACCAAAAACACAGGUCUCCGCUAAGUCGUAAGACGAUGUAUGGGGGCUGACGCCUGCCCAGUGCCAGAAGGUUAAAGAAGUUGGUUAGCAUCCGCGAAGCUGAUAACUGAAGCCCUGGUGAACGGCGGCCGUAACGAUAACGGUCCUAAGGUAGCGAAAUUCCUUGUCGGGUAAGUUCCGACCCGCACGAAAGGCGUAAUGAUUUGGAUACUGUCUCGGAGAGGGGCUCGGUGAAAUAGACUUGUCUGUGAAGAUGCGGACUACCUGCACCAGGACAGAAAGACCCUAUGAAGCUUUACUGUAACCUGAAAUUGAAAUUGGACUUUACUUGCGCAGUAUAGGUGGGAGGCGUUGAGAAUAUUCUUGCGGGAUUAUUGGAGCCAUCAGUGAGAUACCACUCUUGUAAUGUUAGAUUUCUAACUUUGUAUCAUAUCUGGUCAAAGAACAGUUUCAGGCGGGCAGUUUGACUGGGGCGGUCGCCUCCUAAACGGUAACGGAGGCGCACAAAGGUUUCCUCUGAACGGGUAGAAAUCGUAUCUAGAGUGUAAAGGCAUAAGGAAGCUUGACUGUGAGACCUACAAGUCGAGCAGGGACGAAAGUCGGUCUUAGUGAUCUGACGGUGCUGAGUGGAAAGGCCGUCACUCAACGGAUAAAAGUUACUCUAAGGAUAACAGGCUGAUCUCCCCCAAGAGUUCACAUCGACGGGGAGGUUUGGCACCUCGAUGUCGGCUCAUCGCAUCCUGGGGCGGUAGUACGUCCCAAGGGUUGGGCUGUUCGCCCAUGAAAGCGGUACGCGAGCUGGGUUCAGAACGUCGUGAGACAGUUCGGUCCAUAUCCGGUGUAGGCGUUAGAAUAUUGAGAGGAGCCUUCUUUAGUACGAGAGGACCGAGAAGGACAUACCUCUGGUGUACCAGUUAUCGUGCCAACGGUAAACGCUGGGUAGCUAUGUGUGGAGUGGAUAACCGCUGAAAGCAUCUAAGUGGGAAGCCCACCUCAAGAUAAG
rnacentral:rRNA from 1 species